CGCCAGACUCCUACGGGAGGCAGCAGUGGGGAAUAUUGGGCAAUGGGCGCAAGCCUGACCCAGCAACGCCGCGUGAAGGAAGAAGGCUUUCGGGUUGUAAACUUCUUUUCUCAGGGACGAAGAAAGUGACGGUACCUGAGGAAUAAGCCACGGCUAACUACGUGCCAGCAGCCGCGGUAAUACGUAGGUGGCAAGCGUUAUCCGGAUUUAUUGGGUGUAAAGGGCGUGUAGGCGGGAACGCAAGUCAGAUGUGAAAACUCAGGGCUCAACCCUGAGCCUGCAUUUGAAACUGUGUUUCUUGAGUGCUGGAGAGGCAAUCGGAAUUCCGUGUGUAGCGGUGAAAUGCGUAGAUAUACGGAGGAACACCAGUGGCGAAGGCGGAUUGCUGGGCUUUUACUGACGCUGAGGCUCGAAAGUGUGGGGAGCAAACAGGAUUAGAUACCCGAGUAC
rnacentral:rRNA from 1 species